GGCAGCAUGGUCUUAGCUUGCUAAGGCUGAUGGCGACCGGCGCACGGGUGAGUAGCACGUAUCCAACCUGCCGUCUACUCUUGGCCAGCCUUCUGAAAGGAAGAUUAAUCCAGGAUGGGAUCAUGAGUUCACAUGUCCGCAUGAUUAAAGGUAUUUUCCGGUAGACGAUGGGGAUGCGUUCCAUUAGAUAGUAGGCGGGGUAACGGCCCACCUAGUCAACGAUGGAUAGGGGUUCUGAGAGGAAGGUCCCCCACAUUGGAACUGAGACACGGUCCAAACUCCUACGGGAGGCAGCAGUGAGGAAUAUUGGUCAAUGGGCGAUGGCCUGAACCAGCCAAGUAGCGUGAAGGAUGACUGCCCUAUGGGUUGUAAACUUCUUUUAUAAAGGAAUAAAGUCGGGUAUGCAUACCCGUUUGCAUGUACUUUAUGAAUAAGGAUCGGCUAACUCCGUGCCAGCAGCCGCGGUAAUACGGAGGAUCCGAGCGUUAUCCGGAUUUAUUGGGUUUAAAGGGAGCGUAGAUGGAUGUUUAAGUCAGUUGUGAAAGUUUGCGGCUCAACCGUAAAAUUGCAGUUGAUACUGGAUGUCUUGAGUGCAGUUGAGGCAGGCGGAAUUCGUGGUGUAGCGGUGAAAUGCUUAGAUAUCACGAAGAACUCCGAUUGCGAAGGCAG
rnacentral:rRNA from 1 species